GCCCUCUGAAUCGGGAAGAGCUUCGUUAUACCCUUUUUCGCCAAAGCAGAGACAAUCUCCGGCGCGAUCCCAAGCUUUCCAAUCUCGAGUCCUUCAUCGCCACUUCUACUACUGCUAGCGUCAUCAUACUCCUCCAACGCAAACCCCGUCUGGGAAACCAACGACGCCUUGAAAUUCAACGGCCCAGAAGCCGCAUGAAAUCCCUUCGAUUGAAAACCAAAACCCAAAGGCCUCUCCGUCGCCCCAAUACUGGAGAAAUGCCCAAACUCAGCAGCAGGUAUAACGCCACCAUCAACAACCACAGGAGACGCUAAGAAGUUCGAGAUUGGGGCAAACAAAGUGGAACCGACUCUACCUCUGUAGACCGCUAAGGCAGCGGAUCUCCGUAGAAGAAUUGAACUCAUCAUCGCCCUUAAACACGAAUCAACUAACAGAGCUGCUCAAAGAGAAUUUGUGAAAGAAAUGAAGA
rnacentral:misc_RNA from 1 species